rnacentral:rRNA from 1 species
UACAGAGGGGGCAAGCGUUGUUCAGAAUUACUGGGCGUAAAGGGCGCGUAGGCCGCCUGUUAAGUCGAACGUGAAAUCCCCGGGCUCAACCCGGGAACUGCGUCCGAUACUGGCAGGCUUGAAUCCGGGAGAGGGAUGCGGAAUUCCAGGUGUAGCGGUGAAAUGCGUAGAUAUCUGGAGGAACACCGGUGGCGAAGGCGGCAUCCUGGACCGGCAUUGACGCUGAGGCGCGAAAGCCAGGGGAGCAAACGGG